rnacentral:rRNA from 1 species
AGAUUGAACGCUGGCGGCGUGCCUAACACAUGCAAGUCGGGCGGUAACAGGCGUAGCAAUACGUGCUGACGAGCGGCGAACGGGUGAGCAAUGCUUCGGAAUCUGCCCAAUGAUAGGGAAUAACCAGUCGAAAGAUUGGCUAAUACCGCAUAAGCCCUUCGGGGGAAAGCGGGGGUCGCAAGACCUCGCGUCGAUGGAUGAGCCGAAGUCGGAUUAGCUAGUUGGUAGGGUAACGGCCUACCAAGGCGACGAUCCGUAGCUGGUCUGAGAGGACGACCAGCCACACUGGGACUGAGACACGGCCCAGACUCCUACGGGAGGCAGCAGUGGGGAAUAUUGGACAAUGGGGGCAACCCUGAUCCAGCGACGCCGCGUGUGUGAAGAAGGCCUGCGGGUUGUAAAGCACUUUUAGUGGGAUGAAAAGCACAUUGCUAAUACCAGUGUGUCUUGACCUAAACCCAAAGAAAAAGCACCGGCUAACUCUGUGCCAGCAGCCGCGGUAA